rnacentral:rRNA from 1 species
UACGUAGGGUGCGAGCGUUAAUCGGAAUUACUGGGCGUAAAGCGUGCGCAGGCGGUUCGUUAUGUCCGAUGUGAAAGCCCUGGGCUCAACCUGGGAAUGGCAUUGGAAACUGGCGACCUAGAGUGCGGUAGAGGGUAGUGGAAUUCCCGGUGUAGCAGUGAAAUGCGUAGAGAUCGGGAGGAACAUCCGUGGCGAAGGCGACUACCUGGACCAGCACUGACACUGAGGCACGAAAGCGUGGGGAGCAAACAGG